AGAUAGCCAUGCAUGGUCUAGUAUAAGCACUUUAUACUGUGAAACUGCGAAUGGCUCAUUAAAUCAGUUAUAGUUUAUUUGAUAAUACCUUACUACGUUGGAUAACCGUGGUAAUUCUAGUGCUAAUACAUGCUUUAAGCCCCGACUUCUGGAAGGGGUGUAUUUAUUAGAUAAAAAACCAAUCGUAGUAAUNCGUUUACUGGUGAAUCAUGAUNACUAUUCNAAUCGCAUAGCUUUGCUGGCGAUGGUUCAUUCAAAUUUCUGCCCUAUCACCUUUCGAUGGUAGNAUACAGGACUACCAUGGGUAUAACGGGUAACGGAGAAUUAGGGUUCGAUUCCGGANAGGGAGCCUGANAAACGGCUACCACAUCCAAGGAAGGCAGCAGGCGCGCAAAUUACCCAAUCCCGAUACGGGGAGGUAGUGACAAUAAAUAACAAUACAGAGCUUUUCAAGUUUUGUAAUUGUAAUGAGAACAAAUUAAACCUCUUAACGAGAACCAAUUGGAGGGCAAGUCUGG
rnacentral:rRNA from 1 species